UAUAGUGAUUGAUAGCUUCAUUCAUUCAUUAGAUAUAGAUUUUUGUAAAUUAUUUUUUCACACUCAACUGAUUUUAAUCAAUAUACAGAUUUACUCGGGAAUUAAGUUAAUUACCAUUCUUUUUGUAUUGUGCCUUUACUUUGCUUCAUCUCCCGUAAUUGUUUAUCCUUGUUCAACUUGUUGCUACCUUUUUCACGGUCAUUUUAUAACUGCUUAUCAACAAAUUAUUGCCAAUUAAUCAGCUGUCACUUUCAUCAAUUAUAUAACUCAACUAUUGGAUCUAAUCUGAAGGACUAACCAUUAUUAAACAAAUAAUUAACGCCAUUCGGAUUUUAAAAAAUGACCCACCAGAAGGCCAGGGAUGAAAAUAUUGAACAAGCUGCAAAAAAGUCAUUCAAUUAUUCGGUUUCUUCUUUGAAUAUCUGUCAUUUUAUCAUUUAAUUCUCAGAUUAAUUCACAUUAUCUGUCUUAAAAGAUGCAAUCAUAAUGGUUGACCCGUAAAAUUUGUGUCGAGAUUUGUUUGGAUUCAUCAGCACUCUAAUGAAAAUCAAUUAGUUUUGUCUCUACUAAUUAGAUGAAGCUGUUUAAUGGGUUGACGAGUGCAUUGUCAUGAAAGGUGAACAGUUCCAGUUGUAUUGUUUUGCGUUAAUUUGUUCAUUUACCUGGUCAUCAUUUGAAGACAAUUAAACAAGGAGCUUAAACAAUGAAGUGUCAACAAAUCAAAGGUCAUCAUCAUCUUGUAAACUGACUGACAGCCACUUAAUCAUAAAACUAUGGUUAAUCAGUAGCUUUUGAUUACUCAUUAGGACUGAAAGAGUAAAAAAGGCCGAAAGGAGAGCGCAAUAAUCUGAAACAAUUAGUGAUUAAGUACUACAAGAGUGAAGCCAAGGAAACGGAAGUUUGGGAAGAUUAAAGACAAGAUAAGGUCACUGAUGAGGAUAAUAUAUAUUUAAUAAUGAGGAUGAUGACACUUGAAAUGGUGAACAAAUGGCUGAAGACGAGGAUGAAACUAAAGAAAAAGCUAAACAAUAAAGACUGACCAAUUACUUAAUUAUAUCUACUUAUAUGAGGUCUUUAGGUUUCUCCUCAAAGGUUACCUUAAUUUCCAACAAUACAAGACAAAGUGAACCUUUUGUGUAUUGAACAGCUUUUCACUUUAAUCAACUUGUCAUAAUAAGCAAUCAAAUAUCAAGCAAGCAUGGUUAAACAACAAUUUGUAUUAAACAAACGUAAAAAACGAUUAGCCAAAAUGUUUGACAAUUCAACUCUCCAAAUCUUAACCUAACCUGUUCCCUUUCAACCUGUUGAUCAAUCCUUAUUUUUCAUGUGCACUUCUUGAUCGUCUUACAAAUCAUAAUGCAAGUCAAUUUAAUCCAUAAAGUAAAUUGAUUCUAUAUUAUCCAAUAUCAAUUGGUUAAUACAACAA